rnacentral:rRNA from 1 species
CAGUCGCCGCGGGAACACGGAGGGUGCAAGCGUUAAUCGGAAUUACUGGGCGUAAAGCGUGCGUAGGCGGUUUGUUAAGUCUGUUGUGAAAUCCCCGGGCUCAACCUGGGAAUGGCAAUGGAUACUGGCAAGCUAGAGUGUGUCAGAGGAUGGUGGAAUUCCCGGUGUAGCGGUGAAAUGCGUAGAGAUCGGGAGGAACAUCAGUGGCGAAGGCGGCCAUCUGGGACAACACUGACGCUGAGGCACGAAAGCGUGGGGAGCAAACAGGAUUAGAUACCCGGGUAGUCCCUGUCUCUUAUAC